rnacentral:tRNA from 1 species
UAGCUCAGAUGGUAAAGCAUCUGCCUGAAAUGCAGAAGAGCCCUGGGUUCAAUCCCUGG